rnacentral:rRNA from 1 species
CCUACGGGUGACAGCAGUGGGGAAUAUUGCACAAUGGGGGAAACCCUGAUGCAGCGACGCCGCGUGAAGGAAGAAGUAUUUCGGUAUGUAAACUUCUAUCAGCAGGGAAGCAAAUGACGGUACCUGACUAAGAAGCCUCGGCUAACUACGUGCCAGCAGCCGCGGUAAUACGUAGGGGGCAAGCGUUAUCCGGAUUUACUGGGUGUAAAGGGAGCGUAGGCGGUUUAGCAAGUCAGAAGUGAAAGCCCGGGGCUCAACUCCGGGACUGCUUUUGAAACUGUUGAACUAGAGUGCAGGAGAGGUAAGUGGAAUUCCUAGUGUAGCGGUGAAAUGCGUAGAUAUUAGGAGGAACACCAGUUGCGAAGGCGGCUUACUGGACUGUAAAUGACGCUGAGGCUCGAAAGCGUGGGGAGCAAACAGGAUUAGAUACCCUUGUAGUC